rnacentral:tmRNA from 1 species
GGGGGCGACCUGGCUUCGACGUGGGUAGCGAACCUCCGGGUGCAUGCCGAGGUGCAGGGUUCCUCGUUAAUCCAACUGCAAACUGUUAGUUGCAAACGACAACAACUACGCACUGGCGGCUUAAAUCCCGCUAGCGUCCGAGGCAAUAUUUUCUUGUGGGUAUGUUUCGGGCGUAACCUUACACAAGAUCGCGACUGGAAUUUGUUCAGGGUUUCAGCGUUAACAAGUUCUGAACUGGUUGUCGGUUUUCCCUGCCCGUCGGGUAACCGAUAAUAAGAUCAAUAGACUGGAUAAGCAUGUAGAUCCCUGAGCGGAGUGCUUGCGGACGCGGGUUCGAUUCCCGCCGCCUCCACCA